UACAUCCUUAACUGAAGUUUUGUGGGUUUGAAUAUCAGCAUUUACUGUAUUGGAAAUUAAAACAAAAUUUAAAGUUUUAAGUUAAUUAUGUUAAACUCAUUACUUGCUAGCAUAAGUAACAUUCUUAAAAUUAUCAGCUUGUUAUAUAUUACCCUAAAGAAUAUUUUUCUGAAACAGAAUAAAUCAGAUCAAAAUGGUGAAAAGAGUGGCAUUGUUUUACAUUUUGGCUAAUCUCUUUAAUGUCAGGCUUAAUAGAAGACAGCUGGAUUUUCACAUCUGCUUCUAUGUUCAGUCUGUGUUUGGAUGGUUAAUGUAUAUGAACAAAUACCUAGCCAGACACAGGUACAUAAUUGGAAAUAUGAAGGGUAUCUUAAUGGUCUUUUGAGAAUGCUGUGGAUGUUCUUUGUUGUUGCUGCACUUAAAUUUGACAAGUAGUAGUUUCCUAAGGGUUAGGUAAAUGUGGAAUCUGAAGGCUAUCAGUGACUUUUUUCUAUUUUGUUUCAUUAAAAUCUUGGGUCUAAUUUGUACAUCGAGUGGCUUUUCUGCUCAUGCAUGAUUUUGUAAUAUGUCUUAAUCAUUUGGAAAAUACUGGUUCACUUUCUCAAAUGUUAACAAUUUUUAUGCUAUACCAAAAAGUUAUAUUUGCUUAAGUAUUAUGAAACUCACCAUAAAAAAAUUAUUGUGCUGAUGUUUGAACCCAGGGUCUCUUGCUGCUCUUCACUGAGCUAUGAAUCCAGGCUCCUGGAACAAUUUUGAAGUAAAAGGAAGCUGGUACAGUGAUUGAUCCAACUGUUUUAAAAUUCUAAUUUUUGCUUAAAUGUUUGUGUUUAUCAUUGGCACCCAAACUAUCAGUUUCCCUUGAAUUAGCAGUUUUUUUUACUUGGUUUCUUUUGGAAAAAAAUUCUGCACAAUAUCUAAGCAGAAAUAGUAUAGUUUGUCAGUCAUUCCAUUCACUCUGCAACUCACAAUUAUACUAGUGCAUUGCUUUGUAUUUGGUACACAGCAAAAGUGCUUUAUGCAGAAUUCCUACUUGUCACAGAGAAUAUUAAAAGGACAUUUACUCAAGGUACAAUUAAAUGAAUGAUUUUUACUAUUUCAUCAAGGAUAUUCUGGGGUGAAACCUGACUUGAAAAACUGCAAUGCCUGAUGGUAAUAAAUUAUACAUUCACUGUUAGUACAGUAUGGUGUCAUUGUUUUGCUUCAUGCUAAGACACUAGCUAUUUUAUACACUUUGUUUGUGCACCACCAAUGUCAGUGUCAGCACUGUGAAAAAGUCACUAUCUGAGGGUUGUAAAAAUAAUUUUGAAUUUGUGAGCUCUUGAAAGAGUCCAUGUGCAGCCUUUGACAACUACAAGUCUAUGCCAGCCAGGCAAGUACUGUGUAACUGAGCUACAUCUCCAGCACUGGAGAGCUACAAGUUUACAUAAAAUGAAAUACAUACACAGUUGAUUCUGAAACCAUUAUUUCAUCUGCAUCUGGUUCACCUAUAUGGAAAGGUUAUCAGAAAAGAAACAGGUUUUUCAGUAUGCUGAUUCUGAAGGCAAUAGGAUGUAUUUUCAAGUCAUUAUUGUUAUCCCUUGGAGGUAUUUGUUAUGUGCCUACAUAAAUGUGAAGUUCUGCUGAAUAUUCUGCAACUAUAAAACAGCUUUUGCCUUUACAAAGUGGAUCCUGUAACCAAUCUUGGCUGCACACAUAAAAGAAAAAGGGAAAGAUUAACAGAUGGACUUUCGUUGAGUCACAGUUUUCCAUGCAAAAAUAGUUCAAGCUUCCUCAGGUGCCUGGGCAAAUCACUAAGUGAUUAUUUAGAAAAUAAAGGAGCUAUAGAUUUCUAAUUUUUCAAUAUU